UACGGAGGGUGCAAGCGUUGUUCGGAAUUAUUGGGCGUAAAGCGUGCGCAGGCGGCUUUGCAAGACAGAUGUGAAAUCCCCGGGCUCAACCUGGGAACUGCAUUUGUGACUGCAUGUCUGGAGUGCGGCAGAGGGGGAUGGAAUUCCGCGUGUAGCAGUGAAAUGCGUAGAUAUGCGGAGGAACACCGAUGGCGAAGGCAAUCCCCUGGGCCUGCACUGACGCUCAUGCACGAAAGCGUGGGGAGCAAACAGG
rnacentral:rRNA from 1 species